rnacentral:rRNA from 1 species
GACGAAGGGGGCUAGCGUUGUUCGGAAUUACUGGGCGUAAAGCGCGUGUAGGCGGUUGUCCAAGUUGGAUGUGAAAGCCUUGAGCUUAACUCAAGAAAUGCAUUCAGGACUGGAUGACUAGAGGACCGGAGAGGAUAGUGGAAUUCCCAGUGUAGUGGUGAAAUACGUAGAGAUUGGGAAGAACACCAGUGGCGAAGGCGGCUACCUGGCCCAUUCUUGACGCUGAGGCGCGAAAGCUAGGGGAGCAAACGGG